rnacentral:rRNA from 1 species
UGGGGAAUAUUGGGCAAUGGAGGAAACUCUGACCCAGCAACGCCGCGUGAAGGAUGAAGGUCUUCGGAUUGUAAACUUCUUUUGUAGGGAAAAAAGAAAGUGAUGGUACCCUACGAAUAAGCUACGGCAAACUAUGUGCCAGCAGCCGCGGUAAUACAUAGGUAGCAAGCGUUAUCCGGAAUAACUGGGCGUAAAGGGAGCGUAGGUGGCAGAGUAAGUCUCAUGUGAAAUCCCUUGGCUUAACCAAGGAACUGCAUGUGAUACUGCUUUGCUAGAGUGCGAGAGAGGUAAGUGGAAUUCCUAGUGUAGCGGUAGAAUGCGUAGAGAUUAGGAGGAACACCAGAGGCGAAGGCGACUUACUGGCUCGUAACUGACACUGAGGCUCGAAAGCGUGGGGAGCAAACAGG